AACGAACGCUGGCGGCAUGCCUAACACAUGCAAGUCGAACGAGACCUUCGGGUCGAGUGGCGAACGGGUGCGUAACGCGUGGGAACCUGCCCUUAGGUUCGGAAUAACUCCCCGAAAGGGGUGCUAAUACCGGAUAAUGUCUUCGGACCAAAGAUUUAUCGCCUUUGGAUGGGCCCGCGUUGGAUUAGCUAGUUGGUAGGGUAAAAGCCUACCAAGGCGACGAUCCAUAGCUGGUCCGAGAGGAUGAUCAGCCACACUGGGACUGAGACACGGCCCAGACUCCUACGGGAGGCAGCAGUGGGGAAUAUUGGACAAUGGGCGAAAGCCUGAUCCAGCAAUGCCGCGUGAGUGAUGAAGGCCUUAGGGUUGUAAAGCUCUUUUACCCGGGAUGAUAAUGACAGUACCGGGAGAAUAAGCUCCGGCUAACUCCGUG
rnacentral:rRNA from 1 species